GUCUGGACGGCGCGAGCAGGCGGAGACUGGAGCAAGUGCUCUACCACUCGUGGUGGCAUUGCACUAGUCUCAGUCUGCCCGAGUCGCCGCCC
rnacentral:pre_miRNA from 1 species